GACGAACGCUGGCGGCGUGACUAAUACAUGCAAGUCGAACGCAGUGGGGACGGGUGAGUAACACGUGGGUAACCUCCCAUCAGAGGGGAUAAAACUUGGAAACCGGUGCUAAAACGAUACUGGUGGAAGGACCCGCGGUGCAUUAGCUAGUGGGUGAGGUAACGGCUCACCAAGGCCACGAUGCAUGGCCGACCGUGGAGGGUGAUCCGCCACACUGGGACUUAGCAACGGCCCAGACUCCUACGGGAGGCAGCAGUAGGGAAUCUUCGGCAAUGGACGAAAGUCGGACCGAGCAACGCCGCGUGAGUGAAGAAGGUUUUCGGUUCGUAAAACUCUGUUGUUAGAGAAGCGGUAUCUAACCAGAAAGCCACGGCUAACUACGUGCCAGCAGCCGCGGUAAUUC
rnacentral:rRNA from 1 species